rnacentral:rRNA from 1 species
GAGUUUGAUCCUGGCUCAGAUUGAACGCUGGUGGCAGGCUUAACACAUGCAAGUCGAGCGGGGAAAGGUAGCUUGCUACCUAACCUAGCGGCGGACGGGUGAGUAAUGCUUAGGAAUCUGCCUAUUAGUGGGGGACAACAUCUCGAAAGGGAUGCUAAUACCGCAUACGUCCUACGGGAGAAAGCAGGGGAUCUUCGGACCUUGCGCUAAUAGAUGAGCCUAAGUCGGAUUAGCUAGUUGGUGGGGUAAAGGCCUACCAAGGCGACGAUCUGUAGCGGGUCUGAGAGGAUAAUCCGCCACACUGGGACUGAGACACGGCCCAGACUCCUACGGGACGCAGCAGA